rnacentral:sRNA from 1 species
ACCUCGUAGAUGGCAGGGUUCUUGUAGUGGGAGGAGGCGUGAACCCUUGACAUGGCGCCGUCGGCCGGGUGGCGGAGGACCACCCGGGAGACGGAGCCGGUGGCCGAGAGCACGCACACCGCCCUGGACGAAUGGUUGGCGAACGCCACGAUCUUCCCUGCAACGUCCUGACAAUGAUCAAUGUCGCCUGUCAGCUCAGUUCAGUUUUACCUCCCCUCUCAGUUUGCAUGCAGCUCUGCAUUUUCUGCUGAUGAAAAAAUUGUAGUAACGGUGAAUGAGCUAUGAGUAUUUUUAUUUACCUCUGAAGGAGAUGCCGUGAUGAUGUGAGGGGUGAAGCUCGUUCCAGCUGAGCCACUGAACGCAUUGCC